UUGACUGUUUUAGCAAAGACAUUGCUUAUUGAUAAAGGAUAAUAAGUAAUUUCUGCCCACUACCAGUUGGUGCGAAGGGCUGCAGUAUUUUGACUGUAUUAAGGUAGCAUAAUCAUUAGCUUUUUAAUUGGGAGCUGGUAUGAAGAGAGUACGGGGAGAUUGUUUAUUUUUUUGGAUGGUUGAAUUUUAUUUUCAUGUGAAAAAUCAUGGAUAAAUCUGAGGGACAAGAAGACCCUAUUAAGUUUUAUUUCUAUAUAAUAAAAAGUAUAAAGGAUAAGAAUUAUGAAUAAUUAGUAUAAUUUAUUUUUAGAAGUUUGGCUGGGGCAGAAAAUUUAACAACUAUAUUUUAUAUAUAAUUUUUAUAAAGCGUAAAGAAGACCUGACUAGGUCAGAUGAGAGAAAAAUUACUUUAGGGAUAACAGCGUUAUUUCUUCUGAGAGUUCUUAUUGAUGGAGAAGUUUGCGACCUCGAUGCCGGCCUAGCCUAAAACAUAGAACAGUAUUGAUGAGAUCGCGUCGGA
rnacentral:rRNA from 1 species